CCUACGGGGGGCUGCAGUGGGGAAUAUUGGACAAUGGGGGCAACCCUGAUCCAGCCAUGCCGCGUGUGUGAAGAAGGCCCUCGGGUUGUAAAGCACUUUCAGUGAGGAAGAACGCCUGGUGGUUAAUACCCAUCAGGAAAGACAUCACUCACAGAAGAAGCACCGGCUAACUCCGUGCCAGCAGCCGCGGUAAUACGGAGGGUGCGAGCGUUAAUCGGAAUUACUGGGCGUAAAGCGCGCGUAGGUGGCUUGAUAUGCCGGUUGUGAAAGCCCCGGGCUCAACCUGGGAACGGCAUCCGGAACUGUCAAGCUAGAGUUCAGGAGAGGAAGGUAGAAUUCCCGGUGUAGCGGUGAAAUGCGUAGAGAUCGGGAGGAAUACCAGUGGCGAAGGCGGCCUUCUGGACUGACACUGACACUGAGGUGCGAAAGCGUGGGUAGCAAACAGGAUUAGAUACCCUAGUAGUC
rnacentral:rRNA from 1 species